UACGGGGGGUGCAAACGUUGCUCGGAAUCAUUGGGCGUAAAGCGCACGUAGGCGGUCCAGUAAGUCGGGUGUGAAAGCCCUCGGCUCAACCGAGGAAGUGCAUUCGAAACUGCUGAACUUGAGUAUGGAAGAGGGUCGCGGAAUUCCCGGUGUAGAGGUGAAAUUCGUAGAUAUCGGGAGGAACACCAGUGGCGAAGGCGGCGACCUGGGCCAAUACUGACGCUGAGGCACGAAAGCGUGGGGAUCAAACAGG
rnacentral:rRNA from 1 species